rnacentral:antisense_RNA from 2 species
CUUCACCGACCCGAGCCACAGCGGACGGUCCGGCGGCCGGUUCCGCCCGUACGUGGCCAGCAGCGCCUGCGCCUC